AGAGACAGCAGUCGCCGCGGGAAUACGUAGGUCCCGAGCGUUGUCCGGAUUUAUUGGGCGUAAAGCGAGCGCAGGCGGUUAGAUAAGUCUGAAGUUAAAGGCUGUGGCUUAACCAUAGUACGCUUUGGAAACUGUUUAACUUGAGUGCAAGAGGGGAGAGUGGAAUUCCAUGUGUAGCGGUGAAAUGCGUAGAUAUAUGGAGGAACACCGGUGGCGAAAGCGGCUCUCUGGUCUGUAACUGACGCUGAGGCUCGAAAGCGUGGGGAGCGAACAGGAUUAGAUACCCCCGUAGUCCCUGUCUCUUAUACA
rnacentral:rRNA from 1 species